CCUACGGGUGGCAGCAGUGGGGAAUAUUGGGCAAUGGACGCAAGUCUGACCCAGCAACGCCGCGUGAAGGAAGAAGGCUUUCUGGUUGUAAACUUCUUUUAAGGGGGAAGAGCAGAAGACGGUACCCCUUGAAUAAGCCACGGCUAACUACGUGCCAACAGCCGCGGUCAUACGUAGGUGGCAAGCGUUAUCCGGAUUUACUGGGUGUAAAGGGCGUGUAGGCGGGAGAGCAAGUCAGACGUGAAAUUCCAGGGCUCAACCCUGGAACUGCGUUUGAAACUGUUCUUCUUGAGUGAGGGAGAGGCAGGCGGAAUUCGGUGUGUAGCGGUGAAAUGCGUAGAUAUACGGAGGAACACCAGUGGCGAAGGCGGCCUGCUGGACAUUAACUGACGCUGAGGCGCGAAAGCGUGGGGAGCAAACAGGAUUAGAUACCCGGGUAGUC
rnacentral:rRNA from 1 species